rnacentral:rRNA from 1 species
GAUGAACGCUGGCGGCGUGCCUAAUACAUGCAAGUCGAGCGAACGGACGAGAAUCUUGCUUCUCUGAUGUUAGCGGCGGGCGGGUGAGUAACACGUGGAUAACCUACCUAUAAGACUGGGAUAACUUCGGGAAACCGGAGCUAAUACCGGAUAAUAUUUUGAACCGCAUGGUUCAAAAGUAAAAGACGGUCUUGCUGUCACUUCUAGAUGGAUCCGCGCUGCAUUAGCUAGUUGGUAAGGUAACGGCUUACCAAGGCAACGAUGCAUAGCCGACCUGAGAGGGUGAUCGGCCACACUGGAACUGAGACACGGUCCAGACUCCUACGGGAGGCAGCAGUAGGGAAUCUUCCGCAAUGGGCGAAAGCCUGACGGAGCAACGCCGCGUGAGUGAUGAAGGUCUUCGGAUCGUAAAACUCUGUUAUUAGGGAAGAACAUAUGUGUAAGUAACUGUGCACAUCUUGACGGUACCUAAUCAGAAAGCCACGGCUAACUACGUG